GGGCAGAUGGCCGAGUGGUCUAAGGCGCUAGUUUUAGGCACUAGUCAUUUAUGGCGUGGGUUCAAAUCCCACUCUGCUCA
rnacentral:tRNA from 1 species